rnacentral:lncRNA from 1 species
GCUCCGCCGUAAACUUGGUCCUAAAUCUCUUUUUCAACAGCCCAACUCCACUCCCGCCGCCCCCGCUAGAACUCGGGUUCGACACGUCAUCCCCUUCCUCCCUGCUGUGCGACCCGCCCGACCCAGCCGCGGGCAAGGCCAGAGGUCUAUGCGGCUGCGCCGGGGUCAGGUGGAGGUAACCCGAUGGCGUGGGCGGAUAAGGGUGGCGGUAGUAAGCUGAGAACGGCUGCUGGGUGUGUUGGUGGGGAAGAAUGGCCCCACCACCUCCUUCCGCGGGCUCCUUCCGGUGGAAAUUGCGGUGGCAGUUGCACGCGGCGCAUUUGAGGGCGUCGAGCGUGCCCUCCUCUCCGGCCGCAAGGAACUCGCAGCAACCAUCG